rnacentral:rRNA from 1 species
AUCGAACGCUGGCGGCAGGCCUAACACAUGCAAGUCGAACGAGUGGCGGACGGGUGAGUAAUGUCUGGGAAACUGCCUGAUGGAGGGGGAUAACUACUGGAAACGGUAGCUAAUACCGCAUACCAUCGGAUGUGCCCAGACGGGAUUAGCUAGUAGGUGGGGUAACGGCUCACCUAGGCGACGAUCCCUAGCUGGUCUGAGAGGAUGACCAGCCACACUGGAACUGAGACACGGUCCAGACUCCUACGGGAGGCAGCAGUGGGGAAUAUUGGACAAUGGGCGCAAGCCUGAUGCAGCCAUGCCGCGUGUAUGAAGAAGGCCUUCGGGUUGUAAAGUACUUUCAGCGGGGAAGCGUUACCCGCAGAAGAAGCACCGGCUAACUCCGUGCCAGCAGCCGCGGUAAUAC